CAAAGAGGUACCAGAGCAUGGAUGGAAAAGCUGGUGGCCUGCAAGAGUAUCUUUGUGUUUUUGCCCGCAGCUGUCCUACAUUCCAGGAUCAGAUAUGAUUAAAGGCCCAGGCAUUCAGUGUGCUAUGCACCUCAAAGCAUUUGAGGCAAAGAAGGAGGUGAAAGGCAUGAGAAAGUCUGGAUGAAGGAGAUAAACCAGCAAGGAAGCCGGUUCCAUUCUUCUAUGAGAGACAUCCUGAAGUCACUUGCUGUAGUCAAACAUUCCUGCAACGGCAAGUGCUGUGGAUCUGAGGAGGCUUGUGGUAUGCUGUCACUGCAAUGGAGUAUUUUGGAGAGUGGGUUGUUGUUUUUUGGGGGCAGGAUGUUUUUCCAUUGUUCAGGGAUGUUAUCCCACCCUCGUCUUGGUGGCACAUAAACUGGGAUUUGUUAGUAAUACAGGCAGUAGUAAGGCCUACGAGGUGCUGAAGUGCUGGACUUGACACUGGAGGAAGAGAGGGAAACCACUAUGGCUGCCUCUGGACUCAAAGCAGAAGGCACUUUUCAGUGAAGUCCUUUGGAAUUUGAAGCCAGUCACUGCAGUAUCCACGUUUGCAUCCUGGACUGGUCAAAAUGUGGCUGCUCUAUCCUGCAUGGGCAAGGGUAAAGAGUAGCCCUGAGAUACUUUAGAAGAGACAGCACGAUCUGGUGAUGGGAUGCAAAGGUCUGAAGUGUUCCUUUGUCUGUCAAGCAUGUGCUCUUCAGGUUUGGUGGUGGCCUGGAGGAAAGUUGAAGGGGAUGACUCCUACAUGAAAGAUCAGUUCUGCCUUUUUGGUCUCUGCAAGUAGGGAAAUUGUGAUUUUAGAGCCUGGGAAGAUUCUUCCUCACUUCUGUGAAGCAGCACCACGUGUUGUCAGUGAAUUCUCUGCCUUGGCAGGGAUGUUGUGGGUGGAUGUCCUGAGACAGAAGUGUCUCUUUUCAAUGGAAUUUCAGGUGCACUGUGAGUUGAUAAACUCAGUUUCAGAUGAGAGUAAAGCAUUCCUACCAGCUUGUUUAAAUCAAGAGGAAGGAAAUGGUUGAUCUGCAGCCUACAAGAAGAUUCACGGACUAACUUCAUCAUUAUCAGAACAAUUUUAUCUGCAAAUUGCAGACUUGUCUUCUGCUUGUCUUCUGCUGGAGCUGGACCCUGCAGCAUGUGGACCCAAACUGCCCAAGCAGCAAGUCUCCCAGUUCAGCCAGCAUCACAAGCCAGUGUCUGCCCAGCUAUAUCCAGCCCUGAAGGAUUGAAGUUCCCAGUGGCAGACCAGGCCACACAGCAGCUUCCAUGUGUGGGUGCUCCCUGCGAGUCCUUCUCAAUGGCAGUCUGAAUUCAGCUGUUCACAAACACAAAGUUGUGCUAUGAGAAGAUUACUGACGGCCGAUUGACAAGAACUGGGAUAUGGUGACCUGCAUACAAGGACAUUCUGAUAGCUUUGUUGUGGUGAAGCGAGGAGUCUGGAAUUGAACUGCACGUAUCACACAGCAGGGCAUGGGACAGCAUUCAGUCUCAUGCGUUGGUGCUCACCCACUUAGAGAGAGUAUGGAGGUGACACGUCCAUGUUAAAACCAAAAGUGCAAGUCCUGCUUGGAGGCUGAGACUGUUAUGAUUGCUGGACGAGGAUUUUGCUGCACCAUUCAGCCCUACCCGUGGUGGCCUGCAUUCUGCAGUCUGGUUGGGUGCUGUGUACAGCAUGUCUUUGGUGAAUCACUUGUGACUCUACCCCUGUUGCUGGAUCUCAGGAUGGACGACCUUAGAGACUUUGCAGCCCACCUAAGCCUUCCUAAUUAACACAUUCUCAAGUUCUCUUUGCCUCCCUGCUCAUGAUAUUUGUGGUAUUUCAUUGCUACAUCUUGUGACAGUCAUCAGGGGACACUGCAAUUGGAAAUGGGGCUGUGCAUUGGAGAGGUAUGACAUUAUAAUUCCUCCAAUACACUGA